rnacentral:misc_RNA from 1 species
AGGGACUACUGGGGUAUCUAAUCCUGUUCGCUACCCACGCUUUCGCUCCUCAGCGUCAGUUACUGCCCAGAGACCCGCCUUCGCCACCGGUGUUCCUCCUGAUAUCUGCGCAUUCCACCGCUACACCAGGAAUUCCAGUCUCCCCUGCAGUACUCAAGUCUGCCCGUAUCGCCCGCACGCUCACAGUUAAGCCGUGAGAUUUCACGAACAACGCGACAAACCACCUACGAGCUCUUUACGCCCAGUAAUUCCGGACAACGCUCGCACCCUACGUAUUACCGCGGCUGCUGGCAC